rnacentral:lncRNA from 1 species
AGAGUUGUCUGCUGGUUCUCAGCUUGAAGAAGAUUCUACAGUCCUUAUUGAUCCUUUUUCUUGGCGUUACCAUUUUUGAAGCAAAGUUAACCUAGCUUUCUAGUUUGAGCUUUCUUUUUGGCCGUCUUUUAAAACAUUUUUUUUUUGAUCUAUAAAAUAGACAAGAGAUAGUUCUACAAUGUCCAAGUCAUUCCAGCAGUCAUCUCUCGGUAGGGAUUCACAGGGUCAUGGGCGUGACCUGUCUGCAGCAGGAAUAGGCCUUCUUGCUGCUGCUACCCAGUCUUUAAGUAUGCCAGCAUCUCUUGGAAGGAUGAACCAGGGUACUGCACGCCUUGCUAGCUUAAUGAAUCUUGGAAUGAGUUCUUCAUUGAAUCAACAAGGAGCUCAUAGUGCACUGUCUUCUGCUAGUACUUCUUCCCAUAAUUUGCAGUCUAUAUUUAACAUUGGAAGUAGAGGUCCACUCCCUUUGUCUUCUCAACACCGUGGAGAUACAGACCAGGCCAGUAAUAUUUUGGCCAGCUUUGGUCUGUCUGCUAGAGACUUAGAUGAACUGAGUCGUUAUCCAGAGGACAAGAUUACUCCUGAGAACUUGCCCCAAAUUCUUCUACAGCUUAAAAGGAGGAGAACUGAAGAAGGCCCUACAUUGAGUUAUGGUAGAGAUGGCAGAUCUGCUACACGGGAGCCACCAUACAGAGUACCUAGGGAUGAUUGGGAAGAAAAAAGGCAUUUUAGAAGAGAUAGUUUUGAUGAUCGUGGUCCUAGUCUCAACCCAGUGCUUGAUUAUGACCAUGGAAGUCGUUCUCAAGAAUCUGGUUAUUAUGACAGAAUGGAUUAUGAAGAUGACAGAUUAAGAGAUGGAGAAAGGUGUAGGGAUGAUUCUUUUUUUGGUGAGACCUCGCAUAACUAUCAUAAAUUUGACAGUGAGUAUGAGAGAAUGGGACGUGGUCCUGGCCCCUUACAAGAGAGAUCUCUCUUUGAGAAAAAGAGGGGCGCUCCUCCAAGUAGCAAUAUUGAAGACUUCCAUGGACUCUUACCGAAGGGUUAUCCCCAUCUGUGCUCUAUAUGUGAUUUGCCAGUUCAUUCUAAUAAAGGAGUGGAGUCAACAUAUCAAUGGAGCAAGUCACAGUCGUCGAUGCCAGCUUCUUCUUGAAAUCUACCCAGAAUGGAAUCCUGACAAUGAUACUGGACACACAAUGGGUGAUCCAUUCAUGCUGCAGCAGUCAACAAACCCAGCACCGGGAAUUCUGGGACCGCCACCUCCUUCAUUUCAUCUUGGAGGACCAGCAGUUGGACCAAGAGGAAAUCUGGGUGCUGGUAAUGGGAACCUACAGGGACCAAGACACAUGCAAAAAGGCAGAGUGGAAACCAGCCGAGUUGUUCACAUUAUGGAUUUUCAGCGAGGAAAAAACUUGAGAUACCAGCUAUUACAACUGGUAGAACCAUUUGGAGUCAUUUCAAAUCAUCUGAUUCUAAAUAAAAUUAAUGAGGCAUUUAUUGAAAUGGCGACCACAGAAGAUGCUCAGGCUGCUGUGGAUUAUUAUACAACUACACCAGCAUUAGUGUUUGGCAAGCCAGUGAGAGUUCAUUUAUCCCAGAAGUAUAAGAGAAUAAAGAAACCUGAAGGAAAACCAGAUCAGAAGUUUGAUCAAAAGCAAGAACUUGGACGUGUGAUACAUCUCAGCAAUUUACCUCAUUCUGGCUAUUCUGACAGUGCUGUCCUCAAGCUUGCAGAGCCUUAUGGGAAAAUAAAAAAUUAUAUAUUGAUGAGGAUGAAAAGUCAGGCUUUUAUUGAGAUGGAAACCAGAGAAGAUGCAAUGGCAAUGGUUGACCACUGUCUAAAGAAGGCACUUUGGUUUCAGGGAAGAUGUGUUAAAGUUGACUUGUCUGAGAAAUAUAAAAAACUGGUGCUGAGGAUUCCUAACAGAGGCAUUGACUUACUGAAAAAAGAUAAAUCUCGGAAAAGAUCCUAUUCUCCAGAUGGAAAAGAAUCUCCAAGUGAUAAGAAGUCCAAAACUGAUGGUGCUCAGAAGACUGAGAAUCCAGCUGAGGGUAAAGAACAAGAAGAGAAGUCGGGUGAGGAUGGUGAGAAAGACACCAAGGAUGACCAGACAGAACAGGAGCCCAGUAUGCUUCUUGA